rnacentral:rRNA from 1 species
UACGAAGGGGGCUAGCGUUGCUCGGAAUCACUGGGCGUAAAGGGUGCGUAGGCGGGGCUUUAAGUCAGGGGUGAAAUCCUGGAGCUCAACUCCAGAACUGCCUUUGAUACUGAGGAUCUUGAGUUCGGGAGAGGUGAGUGGAACUGCGAGUGUAGAGGUGAAAUUCGUAGAUAUUCGCAAGAACACCAGUGGCGAAGGCGGCUCACUGGCCCGAUACUGACGCUGAGGUGCGAAAGCGUGGGGAGCAAACAGG